UACGUAGGGUGCGAGCGUUAAUCGGAAUUACUGGGCGUAAAGCGUGCGCAGGCGGCGCGUUAAGACAGGUGUGAAAGCCCCGAGCUUAACUUGGGAAUUGCGCUUGUGACUGGCGUGCUGGAGUGUGGCAGAGGGAGGUGGAAUUCCCGGUGUAGCGGUGAAAUGCGCAGAUAUCGGGAGGAACACCAAUUGCGAAGGCAGCUCGCUGGGACGUCACUGACGCUGAGACGCGAAAGCGUGGGGAGCAAACAGG
rnacentral:rRNA from 1 species